rnacentral:rRNA from 1 species
CAAUAGCGUAUAUUAAAGUUGUUGCAGUUAAAAAGCUCGUAGUUGGAUUUCUGGUGGGAGCGAUCGGUCUGGCGCUUAGCGCGAGUACUUGCAUCGUCUCCGGCCAUCCUUGGGGAGAGUCUGUCUGGCAUUAGGUUGUUGGGCAGAGGAUCCUCAUCGUUUACUGUGAAAAAAUUAGAGUGUUCAAAGCAGGCUUAUGCCGUUGAAUAUAUUAGCAUGGAAUAAUAAGAUAGGACUUUGGUACUAUUUUGUUGGUUUGCGCACCAAAGUAAUGAUUAAUAGGGACAGUUGGGGGUAUUCGUAUUCCGUUGUCAGAGGUGAAAUUCUUGGAUUUACGGAAGACGAACUACUGCGAAAGCAUUUACCAAGGAUGUUUUCAUUAA